CCUACGGGAGGCUGCAGUGAGGAAUAUUGGUCAAUGGACGAGAGUCUGAACCAGCCAAGUAGCGUGAAGGAUGACUGCCCUAUGGGUUGUAAACUUCUUUUAUAUGGGAAUAAAAUGUUCCACGUGUGGGAUUUUGUAUGUACCAUAUGAAUAAGGAUCGGCUAACUCCGUGCCAGCAGCCGCGGUAAUACGGAGGAUCCGAGCGUUAUCCGGAUUUAUUGGGUUUAAAGGGAGCGUAGGUGGAUUGUUAAGUCAGUUGUGAAAGUUUGCGGCUCAACCGUAAAAUUGCAGUUGAAACUGGCAGUCUUGAGUACAGUAGAGGUGGGCGGAAUUCGUGGUGUAGCGGUGAAAUGCUUAGAUAACACGAAGAACUCCGAUUGCGAAGGCAGUUCACUGGACUGCAACUGACACUGAGGCUCGAAAGUGUGGGUAUCAAACAGGAUUAGAUACCCUUGUAGUC
rnacentral:rRNA from 1 species